rnacentral:rRNA from 1 species
CUACGGGUUGCACCAGUGGGGAAUAUUGCACAAUGGACGAAAGUCUGAUGCAGCAACGCCGCGUGGAGGAUGACACAUUUCGGUGCGUAAACUCCUUUUAUAUAGGAAGAUAAUGACGGUACUAUAUGAAUAAGCACCGGCUAACUCCGUGCCAGCAGCCGCGGUAAUACGGAGGGUGCAAGCGUUACUCGGAAUUACUGGGCGUAAAGAGCGUGUAGGCGGGUUUGUAAGUUGGAUGUGAAAUCCUAUGGCUCAACCAUAGAACUGCAUCCAAAACUGCUUACCUAGAAUAUGGGAGAGGUAGAUGGAAUUUCUGGUGUAGGGGUAAAAUCCGUAGAGAUCAGAAGGAAUACCGAUUGCGAAGGCGAUCUACUGGAACAUUAUUGACGCUGAGACGCGAAAGCGUGGGGAGCAAACAGGAUUAGAUACCCGCGUAGUC